UUCAAAACCACGCAUGCCUUUCAGCUUUUUUUCAUACUUUUUACAGGAAAACGUGUGACCGAUCAAAUUGCUUCCACAGGAAUCAUAACGGCAACUGAUACGAUUGCAAAGACGAAGUCAUGUUCAAAAGUACAGGUUCCGACAACAAGACCAAGCCAGGCAGGGUUCAUCAUCCACCACCGCGAGGAUGCCUGGAGAUCGAUUACGGCAAACUUCUCCGAUGGAGGCAAAACAUACGCUGUUAACGACUAUCGUAUAUCAUCAUGAACACUUAUUUAUCGAAUAUCCUUCAAAAAAGAAAUUCAAAUCUUCAGUAACUUUGAUUUCACCUACCAAGAAAGAAAUACCACGAUUAAACGACAAAAUAAAUAUAACAGGUAAUGCAUGUGGUAACGAGUUUGAAGAGUUAUCCCCUGAAUGCCAUCAAAUACUUAAAAUACCGUCAGAUUAUCCAGAAAUGAAGGCGAUGUUGGAACCUUCAGAAACACAGCUUCUAUGUGUUACAGAAGACCGCAUGUCAAAUGAAGAGAAUAAUGACAACGAAUUAAAACUACGCAGCCUAUUCCCAACAGUUGUUAAAGAACAAUCUAAAAUGAAAGGUCAUGAGAACAAUCUUUUACACUUUUUUGAACUUGUUGAAAUUGUUAAUAUAUCCAUGUAUAUAAAUAAAUCAUUUGGCUAUCA